UUCCCCCUUAUUUCUGUAGACUAGCCGAGUGGAGUACAUGCACUCACGGGGAUUUCUUCACCGUGACAUAAAGCCUGACAACUUCUUAAUGGGUCUGGGGCGUAAAGCUAAUCAGGUGUAUAUCAUUGAUUAUGGCCUUGCAAAAAAGUAUAGAGAUCUUCAAACGCAUAAGCACAUACCAUAUAGGUA